rfam:Synechococcus cyanophage syn9, complete genome.
GCCAAACUAGCUCAGCUGGAUAGAGCAACGGUUUUGUAAACCGUAGGUCAACGGUUCAAGUCCGUUGUUUGGCU